rnacentral:rRNA from 1 species
UAAUAAAACUAGUAGCCGGACUACGGGGAUCGGGUCGGAUGUUAUCUUUUUGACUCGCUCGGCACCUUAUGAGAAAAUCAAAGGUCUUUGGGGUUCUGGGGGGAGUAUGGUCGCAAGGCUGAAAACUUAAAGAAAUUGACGGAAGGGCACCACCAGGAGUGGAGCCUGCGGCUUAAUUUGACCCAACACGGGGAAACUCACCAGGUCCAGACACAAUAAGGAUUGACAGAUUGAGUAGCUCUUUCUUGAUUUUGUGGGUGGUGGUGCAUGGCCGUUCUUAGUUGGUGGAGUGAUUUGUCUGCUUAAUUGCGAUAACGAACGAGACCUUAACCUGCUAAAUAGCCAGGCUAGCUUUGGCUGGUCGCCGGCUUCUUAGAGGGACUAUCGGCUCAAGCCGAAUGGAAGUUUGAGGCAAUAACAGGUCUGUGAUGCCCUUAGAUGUUCUGGGCCGCACGCGCGCUACACUGACCGGGCCAACGAGUUUCUUCCUUGACCGAAAGGUCUGGGUAAUCUUGUUAAACCCGGUCGUGC